rnacentral:rRNA from 1 species
CUAGUUGGUGUGGUAACGGCAUACCAAGGCAACGAUGGGUAGGGGUCCUGAGAGGGAGAUCCCCCACACUGGUACUGAGACACGGACCAGACUCCUACGGGGAGGCAGCAGUGAGGAAUAUUGGUCAAUGGGCGCAAGCCUGAACCAGCCAUGCCGCGUGCAGGAUGACGGUCCUAUGGAUUGUAAACUGCUUUUGUACAGGAAGAAACACUCCCUCGUGAGGGAGCUUGACGGUACUGUAAGAAUAAGGAUCGGCUAACUCCGUGCCAGCAGCCGCGGUAAUACGGAGGAUCCAAGCGUUAUCCGGAAUCAUUGGGUUUAAAGGGUCCGUAGGCGGGUUUAUAAGUCAGUGGUGAAAGCCCAUCGCUCAACGAUGGAACGGCCAUUGAUACUGUAGAUCUUGAAUUAUUAGGAAGUAACUAGAAUAUGUAGUGUAGCGGUGAAAUGCUUAGAGAUUACAUGGAAUACCGAUUGCGAAGGCAGGUUACUACUAAUGGAUUGACGCUGAUGGACGAAAGCGUGGGUAGCGAACAGGAUUAGAUACCCUGGUAGUCCACGCCGUAAACGAUGGAUACUAGCUGUUCGGAGCAAUCUGAGUGGCUAAGCGAAAGUGAUAAGUAUCCCACCUGGGGAGUACGUUCGCAAGAAUGAAACUCAAAGGAAUGGACG